AUGGUGUCGUGGAGCGACGAGACCAGUGAGGAUUCAGUCAUGAACAUCUCCUCCUGCGAUGGCAUCAUCAAGCUUCCAGCUACGAUGCACGAUCCGAAUUUCAAUGGCACUGACGCAGAUGUGAAUGUUUUGUGCGAACACGGCGAGCCGGCCGAGCGCUUAGUUGCAUUUGAAGGGAUGCACACGGGCAGGAGGUUUCUAGGAUGUGCUAAGAAGGAAGGCAUAAACUAUGGAGUAGUUCAAUGGAUUGAUUUUGAAUGGCCAGACUCAAUGGAGAAGGCAUUGGCCAAGUUAUGGGAUAUGUAUGAGGAGAGUAAGUCAGGUAGGACCAAUGACAAUCUGGAGAGUUCCUUUGUAAUUCACAACCUGACAGAAGAGAAGAAGAAACUAUAG
rnacentral:rRNA from 1 species